GAAGUGCUAAGGCCUGAACAACAGGCCCUGAGCCAGAGUUGACCUCUAGAUGAACCUUCCAACCUAAUGGCCUGGGUCUCCUGUAUCUGCUCAUCAGUUCA